rnacentral:rRNA from 1 species
GACAGAGGGGGCAAGCGUUGCUCGGAAUCACUGGGCGUAAAGGGCGCGUAGGCGGGAUGGCAAGUCAGUCGUGAAAUCUCUCGGCUCAACCGAGAAACGUCGGCUGAUACUGCCGUUCUUGAGGGAUGCAGAGGAGACUGGAAUUCCCGGUGUAGCGGUGAAAUGUGUAGAGAUCGGGAGGAACACCAGUGGCGAAGGCGACUACCUGGCCUGUUCUUGACGCUGAGGCGCGAAAGCUAGGGGAGCAAACGGG